GUCUCCGUGGCCGAGUGGUUAAGCAGCGGCCUGCAAAGCCGUCUACGCCGGUUCGAAUCCGGCCGGAGACU
rnacentral:tRNA from 1 species